rnacentral:ncRNA from 3 species
CGAUGUCGGCUCUUCCUA